rnacentral:rRNA from 1 species
UACGUAGGGUGCAAGCGUUAAUCGGAAUUACUGGGCGUAAAGCGUGCGCAGGCGGUUUUGUAAGUUUUGUCGUGAAAUCCCCCGGGCUCAACCUGGGGAAUGGCGAUGAAGACUGCAAGGCUAGAAUCUGGCAGAGGGGGGUAGAAUUCCACGUGUGAGCAGUGAAAUGCGUAGAGAUGUGGAGGAACACCGAUGGCGAAGGCAGCCCCCUGGGUCAAGAUUGACGCUCAUGCACGAAAGCGUAGGG